rnacentral:rRNA from 1 species
GGAGCUCUCCCAUAUGGUCGACCUGCAGGCGGCCGCGAAUUCACUAGUGAUUGUUUGAUCCUGGCUCAGAUUGAACGCUGGCGGCAGGCUUAACACAUGCAAGUCGAACGGUAACAGAGAAUAGCUUGCUAUUCUGCUGACGAGUGGCGGACGGGUGAGUAAUGCUUGGGAAUUUGCCGAAAGGUGGGGGACAACAGUUGGAAACGACUGCUAAUACCGCAUAAUGUCUACGGACCAAAGGUGGCCUCUAUUUAUAUGCUAUCGCCUUUCGAUGAGCCCAAGUGGGAUUAGCUAGUUGGUAAGGUAAUGGCUUACCAAGGCGACGAUCCCUAGCUGGUCUUAGAGGAUGACCAGCCACACUGGAACUGAGACACGGUCCAGACUCCUACGGGAGGCAGCAGUGGGGAAUAUUGCACAAUGGGGGAAACCCUGAUGCAGCCAUGCCGCGUGUGUGAAGAAGGCUUUCGGGUUGUAAAGCACUUUCAGCGAGGAGGAAAGGGUAAUGGCUAAUAUCCAUUAUCUGUGACGUUACUCGCAGAAGAAGCACCGGCUAACUCCGUGCCAGCAGCCGCGGUAAUACGGAGGGUGCAAGCGUUAAUCGGAAUUACUGGGCGUAAAGCGCGCGUAGGUGGUUAAUUAAGUCAGAUGUGAAAGCCCAGGGCUCAACCUUGGAACUGCAUUUGAAACUGGUUGACUAGAGUUUUGUAGAGGGUGGUAGAAUUUCAGGUGUAGCGGUGAAAUGCGUAGAGAUCUGAAGGAAUACCAGUGGCGAAGGCGGCCACCUGGACAAAGACUGACACUGAGGCGCGAAGGCGUGGGGAGCAAACGG